rnacentral:rRNA from 1 species
CCUACGGGAGGCUGCAGUGAGGAAUAUUGGUCAAUGGACGAGAGUCUGAACCAGCCAAGUAGCGUGAAGGAUGACUGCCCUAUGGGUUGUAAACUUCUUUUAUAUGGGAAUAAAACAGGGUAUGCAUACCCUCUUGUAUGUACCAUAUGAAUAAGGAUCGGCAGAAUACGUGCCAGCAGCCGCGGUAAUAUGGUGGAUCCGAGCGUUAUCCGGGUUUAAUGGGUUUAAAGGGAGCGUAGGUGGGUUGUUAAGUCAGUUGUGAAAGUUUGCGGCUCAACCGUAAAAUUGCAGUUGAAACUGGCAGUCUAGAGUACAGUAGAGGUGAGCGGAAUUCGAGGUGUAGCGGUGAAAUGCUUAGAUAUCACGAAGAACUCCGAAUGCGAAGGCAGCUCACUGGGCUGCAACUGACGCUGAUGCUCGAAAGUGUGGGUAUCAAACAGGAUUAGAUACCCUUGUAGUC